GCGAUUCUCCUGCCUCAGGCUCCCGAGUAGCUGGGAUUACAGAUGAUGAUUAUUCCCCACCUUCUAAGAGACAAAGACCAACGAGCCACCACAGCCACCAGUCCCAGAACCCGCCAAUGCUGGGGAACGGAAAAUGAGGGAGUUCAACUCUGGCCCUCACAAUCCAGUGGAGGAGACGAAACUCAUCUGCCUCUGUCCCUCUGGGCACGCCUCAUGCCAGGUGCAUCUGUGGACAGGGGCCAUGCUCCUGGGCUUCCAAAGUUGGAGAAAGCUGCCAGGCUCAGGUCUGAAGGCCAGAAUUCUACAGUAAGUCCUACUGAGUCAAGGUGGGAGCAGGGUCGGUAGCUUCCGAGGCUCUGCGGGAGAAUCCGUUUCCUGGCCGUAGAGGUGGCCUGCACUCUGCAGCUUGUGCUGCCCGUCUCGAAUGACUGGAGUUUCCUGCUUCUGUCACUACACCUCCCACCCUCUCCAUCACCUGCUCUGCUCUUACAAGGAUCCGAAGAAAUGGAAUCAUCGUAUCGCUGAUCUACGUAAACAAACUGAAGAAUUGUCUGAAAGAAAAUAUGACAUGAACUUAUGAAUUCAACAGGUGAAGAUUUACAACUUGAUAAAUCAACUUUGUCAGCUCGAGCUGUAAAAGCCAAAGGUCCGGUGAUGAUCCCAUACCCUUUUUUCCAGUCUCAUGUUGAAGAUUUUUAUGUAGAAGGCCUUC
rnacentral:lncRNA from 1 species